rnacentral:rRNA from 1 species
GACGACGACUCCUACGGGAGGCAGCAGUGGGGAAUAUUGCACAAUGGGGGAAACCCUGAUGCAGCCAUGCCGCGUGUGUGAAGAAGGCCUUCGGGUUGUAAAGCACUUUCAGUAGGGAGGAAGGUAGUGUAGUUAACACCUGCAUUAUUUGACGUUACCUACAGAAGAAGCACCGGCUAACUCCGUGCCAGCAGCCGCGGUAAUACGGAGGGUGCGAGCGUUAAUCGGAAUUACUGGGCGUAAAGCGCAUGCAGGCGGCCUGUUAAGUCAGAUGUGAAAGCCCCGGGGCUUAACCUCGGAAUUGCAUUUGAAACUGGCAGGCUAGAGUCUUGUAGAGGGGGUAGAAUUUCAGGUGUAGCGGUGAAAUGCGUAGAGAUCUGAAGGAAUACCAGUGGCGAAGGCGGCCCCCUGGACAAAGACUGACGCUCAGAUGCGAAAGCGUGGGGAGCAAACAGGAUUAGAUACCCUGGGAG